GCUUUCAUCGCUUCCUCCUGAACCUGUUGACUAUUAUGCCUUUGUCAUGGAUUCCCUGAAGGACUGAUAGUGCAUUGAAGUUUGGGUGGUUUUUCUUGAGUUACGUGGUAUUAUGCCAAAAAUAUUACCGGAGAUAUCUAUGAAUCUGGGUGGAUUAGUGAGAUGUACGGUUAUUCUUUUGG